ACGUAGGGUGCAAGCGUUAUCCGGAAUCAUUGGGUUUAAAGGGUCCGUAGGCGGUUUUUUAAGUCAGAGGUGAAAUCCUGCAGCUCAACUGUAGCAUUGCCUUUGAUACUGAAAGACUUGAGUUAUUGUGAAGUAGUUAGAAUGUGUAGUGUAGCGGUGAAAUGCAUAGAUAUUACACAGAAUACCGAUUGCGAAAGCAGAUUACUAACAAUAUACUGACGCUGAGGGACGAAAGCGUGGGUAGCGAACAGG
rnacentral:rRNA from 1 species